rnacentral:rRNA from 1 species
UACGAACUGUGCAAACGUUAUUCGGAAUCACUGGGCUUAAAGGGUGCGUAGGCGGCUGUCUAAGUAGGGUGUGAAAGCCCUCGGCUCAACCGGGGAAUUGCGCCCUAAACUGGACGGCUGGAGUGAGGCAGGGGUGUGUGGAACUUCCGGUGGAGCGGUGAAAUGUGUUGAUAUCGGAAGGAACGCCGGUGGCGAAAGCGACACACUGGGUCUCAACUGACGCUGAGGCACGAAAGCCAGGGGAGCGAACGGG